rnacentral:ncRNA from 1 species
AAUCGUUUAGGUGCCCCACAUCUGGGGAGAAUAGGGAAGGCGGUUAGAUUCCGCCGCGGUCGCGCCACUGUAAUCGGGAAAAAACGCAGACUUCCACUGCAAGCUCCUUUUUUUGCGGGAAGGAAGUCAGCACAAAGUAAUGCCCCGUUAGCCAGGAGACCUGCCUAAACGC